CGCCAAUACACGAACAGUUAAAAACUUAACGCUAUAGCGUAACGUGAACACGGUACGGGAAAAAUAAAAGUAUAUUUCUGGAUCAGUGUUAUAGAUUAAGGACGUCUGCGCUUACGCCAUCCACUGGAUUAUAUCACACGUGUGCCUGUUAACGAAGUCCCGCAUGUACUGAUUGGCUUUCUGGCGAUGAUUCACAUCAAUUGCUCUUGAUAGAGCGAGCAUUCCGUCAGAUGUGUCUGGGGUUAGAGUGCACUAAUAUGAUAAUGACUCUCUCUGCAUAAUCUCAUUGGUCACUUUUUUAAAUUAAGCCUACAUUUUACCCAUAUUCGACUGACUAAGACAAUUGAAUUCCUUUGCGUAAAUUUGAUAUAUGCGUUUUUUUUUUUAUUAUAUACGUUUUAUUAUUUAUGUUUAUAGUCAUAAAAUGUAACAUAUAUCAGAAUAUAAUUUAAUAUUCGCUUAAAAAUAAUUGAAUAUAUUUUUUCGUGAUGUCUAA